rnacentral:rRNA from 1 species
UUUAUUGAGAGUUUGAUCCUGGCUCAGGACGAACGCUGGCGGCGUGCCUAACACAUGCAAGUCGAACGGACUUGCGCAAAGCACUGUGUGCUUUGCGAAUGAAGAAUGAAGAAUGAAGAAUGAAGAAUUGAGGAGUCCGGCGAAGCCGGACGGAUAAAAGAAUCCAUCGCGCAAAGCGCGAUACCGCAAUUGUUAAUUGUUAAUUUUUAAUUCUCAAUUUGUAAAGUGAAGCACAGAGUGCUUUGCGUAAGUUAGUGGCGGACGGGUGAGUAACGCGUGAGCAAUCUGGCCUUUGGAGGGGGACAACAGCUGGAAACGGCUGCUAAUACCGCAUAAAGUAUCGGGGAGGCAUCUCUCUGAUACCAAAGAUUUAUCGCCGAAGGAUGAGCUCGCGUCUGAUUAGUUAGUUGGUGGGGUAAUGGCCUACCAAGACAGCGAUCAGUAGCCGGACUGAGAGGUUGAACGGCCACAUUGGGACUGAGAUACGGCCCAGACUCCUACGGGAGGCAGCAGUGGGGAAUAUUGG